CAGAGAAACUGCUUUAAUGUCCUUAACUGGAGGUCACGCUGCAGUGACACAGUGUGUCAUCAGGGAAGAUUGCAUGACCUCGCUUGUUCUUUGAGCCUUUGAUUGGCUGCCCAGGUGCCGCCUGUGCGCCAAGGUGAAAAGCUAUCAGCCGACACAUCGGUUGGGCUUUAGCACGCCUUCCAUUGAAACAGCUUUUCCCGCCAUGGCUACGCUGAGAAAUUUGCCAAAAUGGACCACAGCCAAUGUGUACGGCAAAGCUGGGAUAAUGCCCAUCAGGACGGGAGAACACAACAUGGUGUCUUAUUCUGAAUUUAAUUGCAUACUGAGGCAACAUUGUCCGUAUGCACUCAGUAUAAUAUAAUUACACAGUCAUAUGAUACAAUAAUGAUAUAAUUAUACUAAUUCACAUCAAAAUGUGUAAGAAUAUAAAGGCAUGUUUGGAAAUGUUAAAGUAAUUAAAAUAUUAAGCGUGA